rnacentral:rRNA from 1 species
AGCGGUAACGGGUCCAGCUUGCUGGAUGCCGACGAGCGGCGGACGGGUGAGUAAUGCAUAGGAAUCUGCCCAGUCGUGGGGGAUAACCUGGGGAAACCCAGGCUAAUACCGCAUACGUCCUACGGGAGAAAGCGGGGGCUCUUCGGACCUCGCGCGAUUGGAUGAGCCUAUGUCGGAUUAGCUAGUUGGUGAGGUAACGGCUCACCAAGGCGACGAUCCGUAGCUGGUCUGAGAGGAUGAUCAGCCACACCGGGACUGAGACACGGCCCGGACUCCUACGGGAGGCAGCAGUGGGGAAUAUUGGACAAUGGGCGCAAGCCUGAUCCAGCCAUGCCGCGUGUGUGAAGAAGGCUUUCGGGUUGUAAAGCACUUUCAGUGGGGAAGAAAGCGUGCCGGCCAAUACCCGGUACGGACGACAUCACCCACAGAAGAAGCACCGGCUAACUCCGUGCCAGCAGCCGCGGUAAUACGGAGGGUGCGAGCGUUAAUCGGAAUUACUGGGCGUAAAGCGCGCGUAGGCGGCUAAGUAAGCCGGUUGUGAAAGCCCCGGGCUCAACCUGGGAAUGGCAUCCGGAACUGUUUAGCUAGAGUGCAGGAGAGGAAGGUAGAAUUCCCGGUGUAGCGGUGAAAUGCGUAGAGAUCGGGAGGAAUACCAGUGGCGAAGGCGGCCUUCUGGACUGACACUGACGCUGAGGUGCGAAAGCAUGGGUAGCAAACAGGAUUAGAUACCCUGGUAGUCCAUGCCGUAAACGAUGUCGACUAGCCGUUGGGUCCCUUGAGGACUUAGUGGCGCAGUUAACGCGAUAAGUCGACCGCCUGGGGAGUACGGCCGCAAGGUUAAAACUCAAAUGAAUUGACGGGGGCCCGCACAAGCGGUGGAGCAUGUGGUUUAAUUCGAUGCAACGCGAAGAACCUUACCUACCCUUGACAUCCUGCGAACCCUCCGGAGACGGAGGGGUGCCUUCGGGAACGCAGAGACAGGUGCUGCAUGGCUUUCGUCAGCUCGUGUUGUGAAAUGUUGG